GCCUCCUGCGCAUCCCGCCGGGGUGCUCCCCUUCGGGGGGACCGCGAGAGCUCUGCCUCUUCCCUGCUCGGCGGCAGGAGGGAUUCAGCAGUAAAAUUCAGCCUGUGGCGCUACAUCGUGAAUUUCUGGGGUUUCUUAAAACCCUCCCAACAGAAAAGGUCCCGAAGGCCAGUCGUAUGAGCAUCCUGAGGAAGGGAAGCAAAGAGAGGGGCUGAUCCUUCAAACACACCAAUCUGGUGAGUACACAUCAAACUGAGCAGCUGGCAGCAAGGAGCUUGCAUGUUGUGACUGUAGUUCAUCCACAGGGAACUCUGCAUUUCAAAAGCACAAAUUGUUUUUAUCUUCCUGUGUGAACCCAGUGAGAUCUCAGUUUCUACACUGUGCUUCCUAAAUGGGACAGAAUUCUUCAGCACUUUGCCUGACUGUCAGUAUAAUCUUGGUUACUAGUGUCAUCCCUGUAGUACCAGGGACAUUUGUGGUACCAAUGAGAACAAGAAGGCGAUUUCUUUGAAUGAGGCCCUAACCCUGUAAACAUUUAAGCACAGAAGUAGCUUUAUUCUGAGGAGUCAUUCAACAGAUGCAGAACUUUUCAUCUGAUUCAAAUUGCUUAUAUGGUAUUGGUGAGACUAAUCUCCUAGGAAGAUCAAAUGAAAACUAGAGCCAAGUAUCAUUGAAAAUGGUUGAUGUUUGGGGAAGGUGAGAAUUGGAAAAGAUGUGAGAUGACUUUACCAAUACAUGAUGUAUGAUAUCAUAUGUACUUUGCUAAACUGAUUUUUCUGUUUUGAGCUCCAGUGGGGCUUUUGCAAGUGGAUCUUGACUGGAAGAUGCCAUGGGGAACCUCUGAGAGAAAAAUCAACCAGACCACAGAAUAAAGACAGUCACCUAAAAUCCAAGUGAAAGAUUCAUAUAAAUAAUGUGUAAAUAAAGCUGCUGUGAUGGCUAUGGGACAUAGAUAUCUGGUUACAAAAUCAAAACUCCAGUGGUUUAAGGGAUGGCAGCUUUCUCAUCCAGCCUUUAGGCUGUGAUCUCUACCCAGCCUUUGUGUCAUCCUUCAGACUUGUAGAGUAUCUAGCAUAAUUCAGGUUGCACCAGAGACUAGCUGUGCUGAACGACAGGGAUCUAGUGAGAGAAGCCAAGUAUGUUAAUGUAUUUCAGUGAAUACAGGGUGGGAUCUUCUCCGUCUCCAGAGACAGUGUGAAUGUUGGAAACUUCCUGAGAUCUAAAUCCAGUUUGCAACGGCUUCUAAAGAUACUCUACUCUCUGUCUCAGCAUUGUCACCCACCUCGAAUAAUAGGAGAACCAUUAAGACUUUUUAAAUCUGCCUUUCUUCAAAAAUGUGCCUCUGCCUUGGCCAGACAACAGCAAAGAAACGUGGGGUUAGAAGGAGCUGGAUGAAAGUUCAGCUGUCCUGCCACACUGAGCAGAUCUCAAUGCAGCAUGAGACCAGACCUGGGGAGUUGAGGAAGAACUGGUGGCUGACAGACAGAAUGCAUCACUCCGUGCUUCAUCAGAUUGACUCCCAGCUCACACAACAUCUCCCACAGCCCCUGGGAGAGCAGCUUCCCUUCUGAAAUCAGUGUGUUCCCAGUCCCAUGCUCAUCUUCCUCCUUCCCUGCAGCCUCUUUCUGCCGCAGCCGCACGCAGGGGAAGCUGCGUGUCCAUGAGCGGCCCCUGGGCACGGUCUGAGCAAUGGGAGGGGGCAGCGAGCCUUGCCCAGGCCAAACAGGGCCGGCGAGCCUUUGUUUGUGCCUCUGCUCCUCUGUUCGCCAACAGCUCAUUAAAAACAAGGCACAAAGAAGCAGCAGAGGAACCGGACAAGCCCCCUCCGGUCUCCUCCCCGACCUGUCACGACUCCCCCUGGCUGUGUCAGGGCUUCCCGGGCAGCCCUGCCGAGGAGUCCGACUGCAGGCCGGGGCAGCAGCAGCCCAGCGGCCCUUGGCUUAAUUCUUCAAAUAACAACCUGGAGAGAGAUAAGGGCUGGCCCUGGCAACACCGAUUAUGUGCUUUCCUGCUCCUGUGGCUCACCAAGUUUGCAAGGGGUCAGCAUCCCAGGCAGAAUCCAUCUGGAAUGCGGCAGCCAGCAGCCUCCCGGUCACACCUCUGUGCCGCAGCCACGGCUGCAAGCACCUCAGCAUCUAAUGCAGGAGUGGAUGCUCUGUCUUCAUGGCAGACUGCACCACUGCAGCAGCCUGCAGCCCUGGCCCCAGUGUGGCUCUCAUCAGGCAUGCAUCCCAGCACACUGAUAAACUUUGAGGAGGCAGACGUGGAAGUAUAUGCAAGAUGCCGCUACAAGAAAAUGAGAUGGCGUUCAUGUAAAUGGCAUGCAAGGCUCAAAGUUGAAAGUCUCUGAAAAAAGUCUCAAAGCCUAGGUUGAAAAAAACUGCUGGAGAAGAACAAAAUCCUUUUUUCUGUUAAUUGCCUGGUGCAGCAUGUUUUCACUGCAUCCCCUCCUGUGAAGAGAUUUGCAUUCACAAAAAUAUCCUCACCUCCAUGCUGCAGGAAUGGAAAGCAGCAUCCUUAGGCACUUUGUAAAAAUGGCUGUGUUUUUUAUGUGAAUUCCCUUAAUAUUCACUGAAGGAAAACAAGGGAUCAAAACAAGUAUCACACUACUUACAGAGAAGGUCCUGGAGCAAAGACCUGGAUUCUGGACCAUGUGCCUGCAAAUAUGGAAGGAGCUUGUUUGCUGUUUGAUGAACAGCAUCAUCAGGAAACCUGAAAUGGCCACCUGUUAUGGAAUGGUGUCUGAGGCUUUCUAGUGACCCAAAGCCAGGCUUCCUACAGCUGAAUUUCCGUGGUAGUAGAAGUCUAACUUUGGGAAAGAGUCUGCCACAGAUAAAUGUUUUUGUUUUUCAUGAAAUAAAGAAAAAUUAUGAAUGUAUCUGACAGGGAGCCAGACAAUCCAGCCAACAUAUUCUUACAAGUCACCAUUGCAUUAGGGGUAGAAGAAAUGCACCCCAGCUCCUGGGGUGUUUAUGUGUCCCAUACAAAAGGAAAAAUCUGAAGGGCUUUGUGUUGUUUGUAGCACUUUUCUGCUAUGGAAGUGCCUCAGUGUCUGCUAGGAGUUUUGUCAUGUUGCAGCCUUUCAUUGGUGUCACUCUAAUCAGAUGUCUCUCCUACACCUUACCACUCCUUAAAUGAAAUAAAUAUGUACCUAAUAUCUUAGAGACAUUUAACCACUGUCAUGUUUGCUUGACACUUGGCAGAAGAGUUAAAAGAAUUAUGAAUUGAGUAGAUAGAAAAAGUAAACAGACAGACAAAAAAUGUGAUUAGUAAGUCCUAUUUCCCCAAAGAGCCAGCCUAAAAUUUACUGGUCACAACAACUGGAAAAAACUGCCAGCACUUCAUAGGACAGCAUUAAGAGUUUAAACUGGAGGAAACUCAAAGGAGAGCAAAAAGCUGUCAGGAAUUGCAGAAACUCAGCCACAAGGAAAGGCUGACAGAUCUUUCAAUCUUGAGACUGUUCAAUCUUGAAGAAGAGGAGACCAGACAGAAAGGCAUGAUAACAACCUUCCAGUGGGGACAGGCUGGAGGUCCCUGAUCAAUUAUCCUUAUAGUCACCAAAGGUAAAAGAGGAAAUAAUCAGUCUAAUUUUCUGGACAGGAGAUUUAUCUCAGGCAAUGGGGUACAUUUUCUGAUUUUCAGGGCAGUUAAGCACUGAAUAAGAUUGUCUGGAGAGUCUGGGACUGACGUCAAUUGACGUAUUUCAGAUCAGAUCUCUCAGAUCUUUGUAAGGGAUGAAAUUUAAUUCUAAUUUACAAUAGAAGUUGGUAUUAUAGAGUCUUCUCAGUUUUAUUCAAGUCACGUGUAUUCAUAAUUAACAGGCAUGCAAUUUGUGAUUUCCCAUUCUUUAAUAAAACAGCCCAAAUUAUGUACUUCUUUAUUGGGUCAGGUGUAAUAUUUAAUCCUGCCUACAACAACAUUUCAGCAUUCCUUUUCAGAUGGAAGAGCUAAUCUGAUCAGUUUGAGUUGAUACCUCUUCUAUACCUUUUUCUUGGAAGGUAUCUUGAAGUGACUGGAUUUCCUGUAAUUUUUUGUGUGUUCACACACAAAAACACAACUGAAAAAAAUCCAAAACUACCCAACCUCCAAACCAUUAAUCACAUUGCUCUUCUUCCAGGUCAGAGCUCCUGGGAGGUGCCUGAGGGCAAAAAUUGGUGAGGACUUCUGAAAUGUGUCAACAGUUGCCAAAGUUCAAGCAGAGUUUUAUAGUGAUGGCUCAAAAUUACAUCAAACGACUUUCCCAAAUCAGAGCCAAUGGCACAGAACAUCUCUUGUGCCGUUGGCUUGGAUGAUGUGACAUCCCUUUCCCAACUAAUGCUUGCUAGUAGACUUAAACUGCAUUUAGGAAAGCCUCCAAAUUAGUUCCCUCCAGGUGAUUAUCUUUUUUCCCAAAUAUUUUCACAGCCAGGAUAAGUAAAUAGUAACUGUAUUAUGGGACAUAAUGUAAGGACUGUGGAACACAAAGAACUUUGAGAUCCACAAAAGUCACAGCAAGGGCUCCUACAGAUAUACGAGGCAUCUCCAUCACUCUGCCAUUCUUCUGAAGACUUUUUGUAGCACACCUGGAUCUAACAGUCCCUCUGAAGAACAAUUUUUAUCUCAACAGUGAGGAACCCUUGUUUUUGCAGUCAAAAUUUACUUGCACAGCAGAUAUCUUAAAUGUGAUUAAACCCGUUAAAGUUGUAAUACAGGAGUAGAUUUUUAACACCUGUGUCUCAAAAGCUGUUUCUUACAAAGUGUAGAAGUUCAUCACAGCUAAUUGUGUCUUUUCAUGUUAGUAUUUUUCUUUGUUUUACUUCAUUCCCAUUUUCAUGGGAUAAUGGCCAUCAUUUGUUCCAAAGAAAAGAACUGUUCCACUAAGGGCAAGUUCACCUUCAGGUUUCCCUUCCAGGACACGAAUCAGUCAGGUUUGAAAAGGUACAGGGAAAAUAGCAGUUUCUUUGCUGAUCAGAGUACUCUCUUUACAGGGGUACAAAUUAUGUUUCAACAGUCUGGGGAAGCAGACUACCUCAAUUCUCACAAUCACAUUCUUUACCCCAAAGCCAGAAACCCUAACCCAAAGCUCUUUUUUCUAUGUAUUUUACCUUUGUGAACAAGUU